UACGUAGGGUGCGAGCGUUAAUCGGAAUUACUGGGCGUAAAGCGUGCGCAGGCGGUUUUGUAAGUCAGAUGUGAAAUCCCCGGGCUUAACCUGAGAACUGCGUUUGAAACUACAAGGCUAGAGUGUAGCAGAGGGGGGUGGAAUUCCACGUGUAGCAGUGAAAUGCGUAGAGAUGUGGAGGAACACCGAUGGCGAAGGCAGCCCCCUGGGUUAACACUGACGCUCAGGCACGAAAGCGUGGGGAGCAAACAGG
rnacentral:rRNA from 1 species